rnacentral:lncRNA from 1 species
UUUUUUUUUUUUUUUUUUGUCUUUUGUCUUUUUGUUGUUGUUGUUGUUGUUGUUGCUAUUUCUUGGGCCGCUCCCGCGGCAUUUUUCCCCAUUUCUAUCUGAAUGUUUCCUUUAUGGACUCCGUGGUCCAGGUCAGUUGCAUUCAGACAGGGACCCAACCUCACUCUCACUCUCCCCUCCCUGGCCCUUCAAAGUUGGUUCUCUUCUCCACUGGCUCAGAGGUCAGACAACGUAGUUUCUUAUUCAACAAGCCCUGUUGGAACAUGGUAUCAUGUUUAUUAUUCAGACUUGGAGUUACUGAGAUUUUGAAUAAUUUGUUUUCAAGCUAGCCAUUAAUCAGUAACUUUUUUUAAAAAAAAGUUUAAAUUUGAAUAUAGUUGAUCUACAAUGAUAUGUUAGUUUCACGGGUACAGCAAAGUAAUUCAGUACUUUAUAACGUAUACCUAUAUUCAGGUUCUCCCUGACAGCUUAUUACAAUAUAGUGAAUAGAGUUCCCUGUGCUAUACAGUAGGUUCUUAUUGCUUAUCUGUGUUUAUAUAGUAGUAUAUGUCUCGUAAUCUCAGAUUCCUGACUGAUGCCUCCUUCCCCCUAGUCACGAACUCUUUAUCAAGAAGCUCCAACUCCAGCAAAUGCUGGGCACAACUUGACACCAUCGGAACAAAAGGCCCCCUCCUGUGAAAUCUGGGUUUUUGUACUAUUUUAUGUCGUUGUUCUAUCUUUUCUAUAAUUCAGAGAAAUUGUUCAUUUUGAUCAUGGUAUCUCUUAACCUAUCAUGAAACAACUUACCACUUUUUUAUUCAAUCAGUGAUUUCCCACUGACAGGACUGCUUUUUGUUAUCAAAGCACAGUCCCUAGGAGUUCCCAUUGGGGCUCAGUGGUAACAAACCCGACUAGUAUCCAUGAGGAUGUGGGUUCAAUCCUUGGCCUUGCUCAGUGGGUUAAGGAUCUGGCGUUGCCGUGAGCUGUGGUGUAGGUCGCAGAUGCUGGUGGAUCUGGUGUUGCCUAGGAACGUCCAUAUGCCCCCCCCCAAAAAAAACCACCCCAAAGCACCCUGCCUAAGGGGUGUUAUUUCUUAGGAAAUUAAAACGUGGAGAAGCUAGAUAGUGCUGCGUGUAAACGAAGGUGCCACCCUGGUAUGUAUCAGAAGUGUGUGAGUGUGCUUGUGUGUGCCCAUGCAUUUUGUAUUUGCACGUGUGUAUUUGUGCGCAUGUGUGUGAAUACCUGCGUGUGAAUGUGCAGAUCAUGAUGCAGUGCCCUUUGGCGGAAGCAAUAAAAUGUCUUGGUCUAUCAUUGACCUGAUCAAUGGAGCUGCCUCCUCUUAAUGACAGGACACACCUCUGCCUUCCUUUCUCUCUCUCCCUCCCUCUCUCCCCCACCUCCCCUCUGCCAGAGUUUAAUUCUUAGCCCCUCCCACUCAUCAUAAACACUCUAGCGUUUGUUCCGACUCAGCCUUCCCCUCCCCACGCUCCUCCCCAGGAAGGUGUCCAGAGUGGAGGAAACAAUCGCCUAAUGUGACCGUUGAGGCCCCUCUGGGUUCCUGCUGGCCCUGGGUCCGAGCUGACGUGGUCUGUGGGUUUUCUCGCUGGGUUGCUGGAGGCUCCCGCUGAUGUCGGUGCCCAGUGAUCAGGUAUCCAUCCUCCCUCUGCUCCCUCAGGGCCUGGGGUCCCCUCAGAAGGUCCCAGUGCCCACUUUGUCCCCAGGGUUCAGUGAAUGUGUCUGGGCAUCUGGUUCUGCCUCACUGUAACCCCUUUGCAUUCAUCCCCCCUGGACACACCUCCAGGACAUGGAGGGGGGUUCCGAGGGCAAGGGAGCCCCUCUCUUCCUGCCUGGCCCUGCAGCGCCACCAGGGAUGCUACACGUGGCUUGUCCUCCAGGUGGCGCUCGGAGGACGGAAACCUCCCAGCUGGUGAGUUGCAGCAGGUCCUGAGAUGGGAACGGUGAGUCUGGUUCCCACGCGGGUCUGCGGCCCCCAUCACUUCGAGCUGGCCGACCCUGGGCACAUUAAUCUCAGUCCCUUUUUUCUUCAAGAAAAAUGGGGACACUCUGUGGAGGGUUCCAUACAAGGAUUCAACGUGCUUACAUAGUACUGAAAUCUCAAUCACACUCUUGUAAGAGCUGCCUGGAUCUAGGUUGAACUUUUAAAAUAUUCUUAAGAUAUAUAAUAACAUUUUAAAUACCAGACCUGUAACAGGCAUGCAGGUUUCUUAUGUUUCUAUUUUUAAAGAACAAUAAAAGAUGGAAAAAUGAGAGCCGGACACUGGCGCCUCCUCCUGGACUUUCAGGGGAACUUUCCCUUUGUAAUCAGAAUGGAAACUGGCUCCACAAGCUGGAAGGUGACCCCAAGAAGCAGGCUCGGGGCUCUCCUGGUGAGGGGGUUCCCGCGACCCCAUAUGCUGGGAGGCACAGCUGGUCCCGCUCUAGGGAAAUGGCCCUGCAGAUCCCAAGAGUUUCUUUGUUGAGCCAGCAUGGGGUGGCCUGUUUAGAAGCCCUGUAUCAUCAGCAACAACGCUAAAUAAUCAAGUGGGUAACUGUGAACUCACUUAACUCUGUGUGAACUGACUUUAGGAAAUGACACAGGGACCUGGGAAGGGGAGGAGGGAUAUUUCAUAUAACACAGCCACGGGGCCCGCCCACGUGUCCGUGAUCAGCGGUCAGGAGCGAGGCGUGGUCUUGCAGGCGUGGGAUUCAGAGCGCGCUGGGCGGACUGACCCGAGGCACGUGGAAGAGAAGAUGAAGAGCAGACUCGGGCAGAUAUGGGGCUCCGCUUUCUGCGCACCUAAUUCAGGGGCUCUGGGGCCACAGCCACUAAGGCAGCCACACCCCUUACCUGAGUGAAGGCUGUCCCGCUGUCCGAAUGGUGUUUCAUCUGUGUAACUAUUACAGCCAAUAGACCCCAACGUGUAAAGACUCAGGUGAUAGGAAUUAGUUCCUCUCUCCAAGUAAACAGGUGAAUCUGAUUCCAGCUCAGCAGGGAGGUGAUUUAAAAUACCGUAUAUGAGAAAAAGAAUGUGUAUAUAUGUGUGACUGGAUCACUAUGUUGUACAGCUGACAUUGACACAAUACUGUAAAUCAGCUCUACUCUAAUAAAAAGAAU